UCAGUUUACAGAUGCGCCUCCAAUC
rnacentral:piRNA from 1 species